AAUAAUCAAAUAUAACACUUGGGUUAAGAGUCAAGUUGGUAAUUUCUUUUAUAUCUCCCCCUCUCGAUACCCAAUAAUCAUAUACACCCCCAAAAUAAAGAGCCUUGAAUAUUAGAAGAAAGCACUUAUACUGAACAAAAUUAGGUGAAUACCCAAAAUUGUGAUCAUUUUAUUUCUAUCUUUCCA
rfam:Gossypium hirsutum cultivar TM-1 chromosome 2, whole genome shotgun sequence